UUGGACCUGGCUGGACCUUUUCCGUAGAAUGAGGAAUUCAUUCUUACAGCCAAUAGUCCAAGAGGGUGCCGUGAUAUUGGCACGAUGCUCACUGGUGAUGUCCCCACCGGUUUGCAUGCUUAUUCUUGGGCGAAAAAACGGCUCUGUUGGCUUCUAUGGUUCUCUGAGCAGUUGUAUGCCUACGUCCGUGGCUGCGUUGAAGAGAACUGGCACGUGGUCUUCGUGAUCGCGAGAAUCAAUGAGUACCGGUUAGGUGCCGCCAACAAAAACCCCAUUUUUGAACUUUUUUACAAGAAAACAUUUCUAGUCUUAUCGGUGGAUCACUCGGUUCAUAGAUCGAUGAAGAACGCAGCCAACUGCGAUAUAUGGUGUGAACUGCAGAUAUUUUGAACACCAAGAAUUCGAAUGCACAUUGCGCCACUGGAUAUCUAUCCUUUGGCACAUCUGGCUCAGGGUCGUAAAUACCAAACGAAAGCUAAUUCGUUGUUUAUGACAAAUUCAUGGCGGUACUGGUUGGGUGCUUUUCCGCCAGUGUCAUGUUUUUGUGAAGGGACUUGCCUACCGGAUGAUUUUGGCUGUUGAUAUACGUCUUUGCUAAUCUAGACGGAAUCGACUGGCUAUUUCACUCUGGAUGUACGUUGGCAUCGAUCU
rnacentral:rRNA from 1 species